UGUACGUAGCUCAGUGGUAGAGCGCUUGCCUAGCACGUGUGAGGCACUGGGUUUAAACCGCAGCACCAUGUAAAA
rnacentral:tRNA from 1 species